GGAGGUCGGCGGUGGACGGACCCUUCGCCAACCGGGUCAGGUCGGGAACGAAGCAGCCCUAACGAUUCCGGUCCGGGUCAUUCGCCGGCCUCCUUC
rfam:Stappia sp. 22II-S9-Z10 contig5, whole genome shotgun sequence.